rnacentral:rRNA from 1 species
UGCCAGCCGCCGCGGUAAUACGGAGGGUGCAAGCGUUAAUCGGAAUUACUGGGCGUAAAGCGCGCGUAGGCGGUUUGUUAAGUCAGAUGUGAAAGCCCAGGGCUCAACCUUGGAACUGCAUCUGAUACUGGCAGGCUAGAGUACAGGAGAGGGAAGUGGAAUUUCAGGUGUAGCGGUGAAAUGCGUAGAGAUCUGAAGGAACAUCAGUGGCGAAGGCGACCUCCUGGACUGAUAUUGACGCUGAGGUGCGAAAGCGUGGGGAGCAAACAGGAUUAGAUA